UACGAAGGGUGCAAACGUUGCUCGGAAUUAUUGGGCGUAAAGCGCACGUAGGCGGCAUUGCAAGUCGGAUGUGAAAUCUUAUGGCUUAACCAUAAAAGUGCAUCCGAAACUGCAGUGCUUGAGUACUUAAGAGGAUCGCGGAAUUCCCGGUGUAGAGGUGAAAUUCGUAGAUAUCGGGAGGAACACCGGUGGCGAAGGCGGCGACCUGGGUAGAUACUGACGCUGAGGCGCGAAAGCGUGGGGAGCAAACAGG
rnacentral:rRNA from 1 species